AAUAAAUGCAGUUUUGCACUGUUCAUAUUCAACGUCGUCUUAUUUGAAAAAUAUUUAUGAUUAAUAUUUUUUAUUAGAUGAUAAAAGUACUUUAUGAUCGUUCGUCUUGUUUUUAAUUUUUCAUAAAUUUUUUAAAUAAGAUGGACGUUUAAAACGUUGGACACGGAUAUCCAAGGCUAUGUUUAUU
rnacentral:pre_miRNA from 1 species